rnacentral:lncRNA from 1 species
CAGGGUAUUAACUUAAUACACUUGAAAUCACAGGGUAUUAAAGUGAGAAAGUGCGAAACCACAUAGUACUAACUGGAUACAUUUUAAACCAUAGGGUCCCCCCCCCCUUUUUUUUUUUUGAGAAAGAUAGUUAACACGUUAUCCGCUUCGUUUAUUUCAUUUAGAAAUAAACUUAGCUGAAAAUAUGAAUCAACUAGAAUUCAAACUUGGGAUCUCGAGUACCAAUCAUCAAGCCUUUUAUCACUUACUCUAGCGACGGUCGGUAAUGUUUAAAAAAUCUUAGGAUAACAAAUAUUGGGAUAAAUUUUUUUAUUCUGGAAUAGCUUUUCAUUUUGGAAUAGUUAGGAAUAAAAGUGAAAUUAUGUUCGGUUUGUGAUGUUAGUAUUUAUAGACAUAAUUAAAAUUAUGUUUAGUUAAUUUUAUGGAAUAGUAGAGAAUAGUAGAAAAAAAUUAUAAUUUGAAUUUGGUAUAAAAUAUAAUUUAAUAAAAAUAAUUUCUUAUAAAAUAAUUAUUGUAAAAAUAAUUUAUAAAAAUAAUUCAUUACAAUAUUUGAUAAAAAUAAUUUAUUAAUAAAUUAUGAUUUAAUAAAAAUAAUUUAUUUUAUAUAUAAUUUUUUUAAAAAUUCACUUAAACUUAAGUUUGAUAAAAAUAAUUUAUUAUAACAUUUAAAUAUAAUUCAUUAUAAAAUUUAUUACAAUAUUUAAAUAUAAAUAAUAUGUAUUAAAAUAGUACAAUUAAUAAUUUUAUAAUAAAAAUAAUAUAUUAUAAUAUAUAAUAUAUAACAUAUUAUAUCCAUAUAAUUUAAUUUUAAUUCAAUUUUAUAAUUUUAAUAAAGUAUGAAAUUAAAUAUUGAAAUAGCAUUAUUCCGUCAAAACGAUAGAAUAGUAAAUUUCAAGCUAUUCCGGAAUAACUAAAAAUAGCAAAAUUUGACCGGAAUAAAAUAUUUCCAUAAAAAAGUAUUCUAUUUAGCAGAAUAGCGAGAAUAUAUAUAUAUAUAUAUAUAUAUAUAUUUGAGAGAUAGGUAACACACUACCUGCUUUGUUUAUUUUAUUUAAAAAUAAAUUUAGCUGGAAAUAUAAAUUAACUAGGAUUCGAAUUUGGAUCUCGGGUAUCAACUAUUAAAUCUUUUGCCACUUGCUCUAAGGACGAUCGGCAAAUAUAAUAUUGGCCCAUGCGGGAAUAAUUUUUAUUAUUCCGGCUUUAUUCGUGAAUCAAACGGAAUCUUAGAAUAUUUCUUUUUCUAUGUAAUAAUAAUAAAAAAUGAAAUAAAUUUUUUUUUUAAAAAAAUUUGGGUCUAGUUGCUGGUAAAGGUUGAAAUGU